rnacentral:rRNA from 1 species
GACGAACGCUGGCGGCGUGCUUAACACAUGCAAGUCGAACGGAAAGGCCCUGCUUUUGUGGGGUGCUCGAGUGGCGAACGGGUGAGUAACACGUGAGUAACCUGCCCUUGACUUUGGGAUAACUUCAGGAAACUGGGGCUAAUACCGGAUAGGAGCUCCUGCUGCAUGGUGGGGGUUGGAAAGUUUCGGCGGUUGGGGAUGGACUGGCGGCUUAUCAGCUUGUUGGUGGGGUAGUGGCUUACCAAGGCUUUGACGGGUAGCCGGCCUGAGAGGGUGACCGGCCACAUUGGGACUGAGGUACGGCCCAGACGCCUACGGGAGGCAGCAGUGGGGAAUAUUGCACAAUGGGCGGAAGCCUGAUGCAGCAACGCCGCGUGCGGGAUGACGGCCUUCGGGUUGUAAACCGCUUUCGCCUGUGACGAAGCGUGAGUGACGGUAAUGGGUAAAGAAGCACCGGCUAACUACGUG